CACCUACACUUUCCUACUCUGUAUGCCUCACCCAAGAUUCCCCACUGUGUCUGUCUGUCACACACUGCCACACUGUGUCUGUCUACCCCACUCAUGCCUUCCCACUCUAUCUGUGACACCUAUUUCCACUAUAUCUGGCAGUCUCACUCAUGCUUCCCUACUCUGUCUGGCUCUCUUGUGUUUUCUCACUGUCUGUCUCACACUUCCCUACUGUGUCUCUUUCUCGGUCAUGCUUUCCCACUGCAUCUGUGUGUCUGCCUCACGAUUCCCCACUGUGUCUCUUUCUCGCUCAUGCUUUCUCCACUGUGUCUGUGUCACUCUGUCUCACUUCAUUUCUGUGUCUCAUUUCUGCUCCCUCUCUCUGUUUGUCUUGCUUAUGUUUUCUGCCUGUAUUAAUGUCCAUAUUAUUUUGGUCUUUAAAGGUGGAAUAUGAUGAAGGAAUGUGGUCUUUUAAGUCAGCAAAGCUCCAGGAGGCAAUUGAAGACACCAAUAUGUUUUAUCUGACUCAUGAAGUGAAAUCUUGGACAAAGUCACCUAGAGGAUUGCGGUAUAUAAUUCUCAGCAAAUGGCACUGUGUUUGCCUCAUAACAUUUGAAGAACACAUG